AUCCUUCAUUCAAAAUUCUUCUGCAACAAGCCUAUGCAGAAAAGGGUGUCAUGUGCUUUCCAACAGAGUUUUUCCAGAAGCAUAUGAAAAACCAGAGACAAGAGGUAGAGAUUGAGACAGUAGAAGGAGUAUGGACUGUGACAUUACUCCCCCAUAUGAAAAGGACAAGGACAUUUGCCAGAUUAAGCAAAGGUUGGUCAGAGUUCGCCAAAGCGAACCGUUUCAAAACUGGAGAGACUCUCUUGUUUAAAAUGAUCCGAAAAGGUGAUCGUCCCAAGUUUAUUGUUGACAGGCAACGAUGUUAAGAGUGUAAGAGAUCCAUGUAGCACCAAAAAAUUUUCCUGAUAGGUCAUGUAAAUGGUAGGCUUAAUUAAGAAAGUUUCUCACGAUAGGCAAUGUAAAUGGUAGAAUAAGUGUGUCAUGCUGAGGAUCUUUCACUUGCCUUUUUGUAAACUCCUAUGAAAUGGAUUUGGAAAUAGUGAAGCAUCUUUUUGUAUUUGUGUGUGGAUCCUGGGUAUGAUCUGAAAUGUAGGGAAACAUGUUUUAAUCAAAUGUCUCCUUAAUUUGUGAUG